ACACACACGGCCACUUCCUUCUACAUUCAUUGGAAAAGAGAGAAAGGAGUGAGUUAAUAUUGGUUGUGUUGCCUGCAGCUGCAGCAAAAGCCCUUUUAUUAUAAAAGUGUUUAACUGUGAUGUUUUUGUUUGUAAUGCAACACAAAACCAAACUCAAGCAUUGACAUAAAAAUAGCCUAUUUCUGUGUGUGUGUGUGUGUGGAUUAUUGUACUGACUCAAAGUCUCUUUUCAUUUAUUCGUGUCCUUGGAUUUUUUAUAAUGAUUUAAAACCUUUACGUGCUAUAAAAUGUAAAUGAUGGGUGUGUAAAUGCAUCUAUUCCUGUAAUGUAGGUAUUAGAAUGUCUCCGAUGUGGAAUUUAUGAACUUCCACUCUGCAUGUGCCCCCAUUCUCCUCUACCUCAGGCUUUGUCUUUUUUUAACUUCCUUCUCAUUUCAGUAUCUCCCUGCAGCUUCAGCAUCAGUGAGAUUUAUAUAUUUUAUUUUUUGUGUCCAGCUUCACAAGUCCCACAUUGAUUGCGCUUGCAGAUUAGAAUUGAUUCUGUUCCCAGGAAGUUGAGCACGUUUUCAGUGUCCGUUCUUCAAAUGAUGGCCGUUGAGCACCAGGAUAUUAGAAGAGUUAUAAGAGCUAAUUUAUGUUUAUUUAUUGUGUUUUCCCAGAGACUAAGACGUCUCCCAUACCAUCGUCCAACGCACCACAGAAGGCUGGACCUCCAGUGGGCAGAGCUGCCAGGCUCCUCACCUUCUUCUACCCUUUGCUGUUAGGAAUGCUGCUGCUGGUCAUGUGAUUUAAACAUCUUUAAAGGUCCUGGAAGAAGAAUGAGAAGUAGGAAAAAGGAGGAAGAGGAGGCGACGGCUGGUCUUUUUUCUAUUUUGCACAUGUUUCGAGGAUACAGUGCACCAAUCAUAUCUGUCCAUCACACAGUUACUCACCGAGAUUACUUAGACACACACACACACACACACACACAAACACACAAAAACCCAGACAAUUAUAAAGUGACUCAGCAUUUUUUAUUUUUUUUUUUGGAUUAAAUGGUGACAAAGAAGAUCUUCAGAGGAACUUCUGACCGCGGCAUCAUCCUCAUCAACGACAACAGCAGCAGGAGCAGCAGCAACAACAAUACCAAUAGUCUUAUAUCACCCCCUGGUGGCUGUGACGAGUCACAGCAGACUGGAAGACAGUGGUUUGGGAAUCUUUUAACAUCAGAGCAAGAAAAUCAACUCCUGAGACGAGGGAAAAACUUUUUUUUAUUGCUCAAUUGAUGCGUCUUAAUUCAAAGUGUCCUCUUACAUGUAACCACACACACACACACUCACGUAAAGUGUGUGUGUGUGUGUGUGUGUGUCGCUACAAUAGCAGCCCCCCCCCAUACAGCUAAAUCACCAUGCCAAAGACUCAACUUCAGACAAAAUGGUUCCCAAACGAUUCAUUGAGCUUCCUGAAGCCUGUGCCUGCCUUUCGUUAUGGGUCGGAAAAUUGUGUGUAUGUGUGCGUGCGUGCGUGCGUGCGCGCGUGCGUGUGUGUGUGUGUGCAUGCACAACACCAUUAUUGGUACUGGAAUCAAACCCGGGACGGAACGUGAGGAAAACCCCGUGCAGCUCCUGUUUGACCAUUCACACGAACACAAAAACGCCCUCUCAAUCAGACUCUGAAUCUGUUUCGCCUCCAGUGACUGAGCGGGAAAAAAACCACGCAGCGAGUCGCUUUUUCUCCCGACACAAGGACUAACACUUUUGAAAGUUUUGGUAACAGUAUAGUCUUAUGGCUUAUGUAGACGGUUAGCUUUACAUUGUGCUUUCAGCGACUGGACGACAAGGACCUGGAUUGUAAAAAAAGAAAGAAAGAGAAUAGAAUUAAGUGGAUUUUGAGACUGAAUAAUUCUUUCGGCCACUUUGUAUUUUAUUUUUUCUUUGACUCUGUAACGGCAAAGUUGCUAUUUGAAAACAUCGAUAUGAGCUUUGUUGGUUUUUUCCAUUCUGCUCUGUGCUGUAAAAUACAAUAACACACUCACACACACACACACACACACACUGUUUGCUUUCCCCAAAAUUCUGACGCCUUUACAAAAAUAAAAUAAUCUCUUUUGCAGUUUACAUUUCAGUAGCCAAUAUCACCAGUUAAUAUUAUGUUAUUCAAAAGGAAUAUUGAUGUGUUUAAUUGUAUUUUUUAUUUUUAUGGACAAAUAAUAAAUACACAUAUAGGACUUUAGUUUUUUUUUUUCCUUUUCUUUUUUCCAGACAUUCAUAACGGCUUAAUUCUCCUUGAUCCUAUUUUGUAAACUAUGAUAUGUAACUUUAACAUUGAACAAAAAAGUUUAUUAUUUAAUAAUAAUAAUGAUAAUAUUAAUGAUGAUGAUAAUAAUAAUAAUAAUAAUAAUGUAUGUAUUAGCGGUAGAAUGUCGUAACCUGUACCUGGGGUCUUUUUUAUAGAUGUAUAUACAAUGACAGGUUUCAACCAUUAAAUGUGACCAUUUCACAAUGAA